AGCCACCGCGCCCGGGCCUAGUUCCUUAUUUCUGGUAUUAAUUAAUUGCAUCAAAAAUAUAUUGAGCCUUCAGGGGGUACCCUUGGGCUUAACAAAGAAGUGUGAGACACAGUUUUUGUCCUCAAGAAACUUACAUCCUGACUGAGAAGUUAACAUUCUUUUUUUUUUCUUUUAAGUUCACAUUCUUAAAUGAGAACUCAUGACUUCCUUGAAGGGAUCUGUAAGGUUGUGUAGCUUUUCUCUUGGAGUUAUCAGUGUUGGAACAGAGAGUAAAGAAUGCAGGAUGGAUCCAGGUUUGAAAGGAUAAGAGGAUAAGAAUAUUGAGGAUCUAUGGAGAGUUCAUAAGGUUCUCAGAUUGGGCACAGAAAGAAGGAAUACCAAGGUGUAUCUGUGCCUGUGUCAGCAAAGUAGGGAUUGAACAUAAAGACAGAGAAAGUGGUUAAUGCAUAUGGUGGACAGGUAGAAGCUGAAGGGGACUCCAUAAGGUCAAGAAAGAAAUGGAGGGUGGGAAAAGGUCAAGAGAGAUCAAACAAUGUCUCUUGUCCAUGUUUCCUGUGGGUCUGUCUUUGCCUUCUCAAACACAUGGUAAAAAAGGGACCAGACAUGACAUUUCUCUUGUGUAUUUUUUCCUGAAGAAAAAUUCACGGCUCAUUCAUGGGAUCUGUGAAGAUCAUUUGGUUGAAAUUAUCAACUUUCUUGUACAUACAUAGAAAUGAUUAAGAUGCUCAUUUGUUUGUGUGUAUGGUGACCUCCAAAGUGUCUCCUGAUGCAAUCUUAUGUGGUAUAAACACACCCACAUACACAAUGAUGACGAAGAAGAAGUCCCCAUCACCUGAUAAUUGUUCAUUACUUUCAAGUAAAGGGAAAUUAUUAUCUCCAGGGGAUUUCAGAGAGACCCACAUGCUGGAAGUAAUUUGCCUUACCAGCAAAGCCAAAGUUUCUCUUCCUUCCCAUAGGCUGACAGCUCUCCUUUUACUCUUCCUGGGUUUUCAGGCUAAGUGCAUUUGAAGGCCCCAUAAACAAUUUAAACUUUCUGAUCCUGCUACUGUUCCCCUGCUCAACACUCAGCUUAUUCUCAAGUUUAUAUUUAACCAAUAUAAUCCUCGUGAAAGACUUUUACAGUUGAAGUCACAGCAAAAACUAGAGAAUAAAAUUUGGAUUAAAAAGCUAAAUUUAAAAAGCUCAGACUUUAUGAUGUCAUAAUUACUCUGUAUUCUUGGAUAUUGUAUAAUUGUUGGUCCCUGGGCGCCACACCUGUUGGAGGUAGCAACUAUUUGGGGCCAGUGGCACGGGUGGUAAAGGAAUUUACCAAGACGGUUGUAGGUAAAACCAAAAAAAAAGGCAGAUUUAUUAGAGAAAGUAUGAAAAUAUAUCGCAAGGAUGCAAUAGGCAGCAUACAGAGAAGGGAACGUCUACAAAGAGGCAGAGGUUGGAGGGAAGUUUUGUAGCAUCUUGCUGGGGAGGGCUACAUGUUUGUGAUUAGCUGUAUCUCAGAACAAUUGGUCAUUGCUCUCCUCAUAGUGGAGCCCUCCCCAAUGUGGGGUCCCUUCCUCCUCAUUGCUUACUUACCUCAUCAGGACUCCACAACACCCACAGUAGGUCCCUUGAUAUAGUGUCUUACAUUCAUGUUGGCUACCCAAGUGCUGCCCAGUACCGUCGGACACAGUGGAGCCUUACAAUUGUCUGUGCCUUUGAAGGGAAUGUGUCUCAUGUCCAGCUUAAACAUACCAGCAGUGCCUAUUAUAAGAGCUUUUUUUUUUUCUCAGGUAGCAUUUUAAAAUUCUUUAAGCUGUAUCCCAGACAUGAAAGACUUGACCUGAAUCAUGUGGUUACCAUGGCAUCUAAAGAGAACCUUUAGAAGCUUAUCGAUUUUUCCGGACAGAAAGAUGGUAAACUGCUCCAAUAGAACAGUUUCUACCUUGCAGGCUGAGAAUAAAAACUAUAUUUAUCUGAAACAGCAAAUCUGAUCUUCAAAACUUCUCUCAAGCAUAAUCUUCUAUGAGCUAUUUGCUGAAAACUGCUUACCAGUUUUUAUGCUCCAGCACUGACUUGGAGCAGCUUUUCUUUCAUCUCUGACCUGGAAGCUUCUUUUCAAGUAAAAUAAAAAUAUGAAGGACCCUAGCCAAGAAAUCCCUUCAAAUCUCAGAGGAGAGUCUAACUACCCUUAUUCAGGGAGACUGAAGCAAAAACAGGUCUACCCUGAAUAAAACGGCAGAUCCACUUUCUGUGCAGGCAACCUCUCCCUUUCUGACACAGUUCUUUGAUGUUAAUCUAAUUUUCAUUAAUUGCUAACUCUAAAGCAACAGAGCUUAAAUCUUUGAAAGGACUGCUUUUCAUACAAUCUUAUUGUGUGAAAUUUGUGCUUAAUAGAAAGGUCACUGGACCACCAGCUUUUUGCCUUAGAGUUAGUAGGCAGGGACUAAGUCAUUAAUUUCUAUUGCUUGGCAUUUCUAUAACACUUGGCAGUAUUCAAAACACUUUUAUAUCCAUUAUUAUUUGAGCCACAAUGGAGUAACAACACCGUGAGGCAGAGACAGAUAUUUUUUAAAAUUACCCCUCUUCACUUUUUUUUUUUUUGGAUUAGGGAAUUAGGUGGCACCAGGGAUUUGAACCCUGCUACUGGAGUAGGGUGGUCCAUCUUCUCUGAGUAUUGCCGGAAUUUCUAAUUGCGAUGGUCGUCCCCUCCCUAGAGGAGCUGGACUCCCUCAAGUAGAGAGACCUGCAGAACUUAGCCAAGAGUCUGGGUCUCUGGGCCAACCUGAGGGCAGACAAGUUGUUAAAAGCCUUGAAAGGCCACAUUAAUCGUGAGGCAAGAAAAGGAAAUGAGGAUCAGGAUGAAAGUCAAACUUCCGCAUCCUCUUGUGAUGAGACUGAGAUACAGAUCAGCAGCCAGGAAGAAGCUGAGAGAGAGCCAGUUGGCCAUGCCACCAAAACAAGGAGAAGGCACAAGACUGUCCGUGUGGACCCUGACUCCCAGCAGAAUCAUUCAGAGAUAAAAAUAGGUCAUCCCACUGAAUUCCAGAAUCAUGAAAAGCAGGAAAGCCAGGAUCUCAGAGCUACUGCAAAAGUUUCUUCUCCAGAUGAGCACCAAGGGAGCUGAGAAUGCUAUUUCCUCAGGAAAACGUAGAAUAAAUGGCAACAAAGAUGCAAAGAUACCUUCAGAAAGAAAGAAAUAUCUCUACACAGAUGAGUUAUCCAAACCUGGAAAAAAUAAAAGAACUGCAAUCACCACUCCAAACUUUAAGAAGCUUCAUGAAGCUCAUUUUAAGGAAAUGGAGUCCAUUGAUCAAUAUAUUAAGAGGAAAAAGAAACAUUUUGAAGAACACAAUUCCAUCGGUGAACUGAGGCAGCAGCCCAUCAAUAAGGGAGGAGUCAUGACUCCAGUACCUCCAAAAGGAAGACUCUCUGUGGCUUCUUCUCCCAUCAGCCAAUGACGCUCGCAAGGCCAGUCUUAUGGCCCUGCAAGUCAGAGUACCUUGGGUCUGAAGGGGUCACUCAAGUGCUCUGCUAUCUCUGCAGCUGAAACAGGUGUCAGGUUUUCAGCUGCUACUAAAGAUAAUGAGCAUAAGUGUUCACUGACCAAGACUCCAGCCAGAAGGUCUGCACAUGUGACCAUGUCUGGGAAUACCCCAAAAGGCGAGGCUAUGCUCGGGACACAAAUUAAAGACCAACAAGAGGAAUUCUGCUGCUGUUAUUACCCCAUUCAAGUUGACAACUGAGGCAAUGCAGACUUCAUUCUCGAAUAAGAAACCAGUGUUUGAUCUUAAAGCAAGUUUGUCUCGUCCCCUCAACUAUGAACCACACAAAGGAAAGCUAAAACCAUGGGGGCAAUCUAAAGAAAAUAAUUAUCUGAAUGGACAUGUCAACAGAAUUAACUUCCACAAGGAAACUUACAAACAACCCCGUCUCCAGACAAAGGAAGAGCAACAGAAAAAAUGUGAGCAAGAAUGAAAGGAGAAGAAAGCAAAGCUUCUGGGAGUGCGAAGGGGCCUCAUUUUGGCUGAAGAUUAGUAAUUUUUAACAUCUUGUAAAUAUUCCUGUCUUCUGAACUUUUUUUCCUUUUGUAAUUGUUGUUGUUGUCUUCCCUGCUUUAGUCAAAAGACCUUUUUCUGCCGACUGUUGAUAUUCUAUGUCGUGUCCAGGGUUCUUCAUGUGCUACGAUCUCUGAAAAGAUGUUAUCACCUUAAAGCUCAAAUUCUUUGGGAUGGUUUUUGUUUAAGUCCCUGUACAGCUCAGUUUUCUAAAGAGACCUGUCCUUAGAUUCUGGUCCUAGAUUUUUAAUGUCAAGUUCCCCCUGCUGGUUCUAGUAUGAACAGAAUUGCAGUCUUCCGCUAGGCAAUAGCAUUUACCUUUUGGCAGCUAGUUAUACAAGCUUCAGUAGAAAUUGAACAAUAACAAGAAUAGGGUAAGCUGGGGUAGAAAGGCCUCCUCUUCACUCUCUACAGAAUAUAGUACGCUUUAUGAAAUGGGGCCAUAUGGUUUGGUUAUGACAUCAAUAUUUUAUCUAGGUGAAAUUGUUAAGGCUCAUAUCAACCUUUGUUCAAAUAGCCUCCGGUAAUUGCCAUCUGUCACUCGCUAUAUUUGCAAAAAUAAAACUCAUAUAACU